GGUGCCGAGGGGCGCUGCGACGGGCCCGGCCCGCCACGCUCGGCACCGUCUCCUGCAGCAAGGGCGCCUUCUCACC
rnacentral:ncRNA from 2 species